rnacentral:rRNA from 1 species
GACGAACGCUGGCGGCGUGCUUAACACAUGCAAGUCGAACGGAAAGGCCUGCUUUCCCUUGUGGUUUGCGGGUACUCGAGUGGCGAACGGGUGAGUAACACGUGAGUGAUCUGCCCCCAACUUGGGUAUAAGCCUGGGAAACUGGGUCUAAUUCCCGAUAGGACUGCAGGGUGGUGCCUGUGGUGGAAGACGAUUUUCUAGUGGUUGGGGAUGAGCUCGCGGCCUAUCAGCUUGUUGGUGGGGUAAUGGCCUACCAAGGCGGCGACGGGUAGCCGGACUGAGAGGGUGGACGGCCACAUUGAGACUGGGACACGGCCCAGACUCCUACGGGAAGCAGCAGUGGGGAAUAUUGCACAAUGAGCGGAAGCCUGAUGCAGCGACGCCGCGUGGGAGAUGACGGGCUUCGGGUUGUAAACUCCUUUCGACCGCGAGGAAGCCACCUGGUUGGAAGGGUGGUGACGGUAGUGGUAGAAGAAGCACCGGCUAACUACGUG